rnacentral:rRNA from 1 species
CUUAGCGACAAUAGCAACGUGGUACCACCUGAUCCCAUGCGGCGCUCAGAAGUGAAACGCGUUAGCGCCGCUGGUAAUAGCGUGUGGGUGGUCAUCUCUUUAUGUGAGAGUAGGACAUUGCUAAGC